GUUCCACUCUUUUAAGAAGAUUUCACGCGCCAUGGGUUAUGGUGAAAAGGACAUCUCCUUAGUAUCAUUCCACUCUGUCUCUAAAGGAUACUAUGGUGAGUGUGGAAAACGGGGAGGUUACAUGGAGAUUACUGGGUUUAGUGCUGAUGUGAGGGAACAAAUAUACAAAGUGGCAUCUGUUAAUCUUUGUUCAAAUAUUUCCGGCCAGAUUCUUGCUAGCCUUGUAAUGAAUCCACCAAAGGAUGGGGACGGCAUCUAUAAAUCGUAUCGUGCAGAGAGAGAUGGAAUCCUUUCAUCUCUGGCAAGGCGUGCUAAGACGUUAGAAGCUGCACUCAACAGUUUAGAAAACGUAACGUGCAAUAAAGCAGAAGGCGCAAUGUACUUAUUCCCUUGUAUUAAGCUGCCUGAAAAGGCAAUCAAAGCAGCAGAAGCAGCAAAUACGGCCCCUGAUACAUUCUAUUGCCGCCAACUUCUCAAUGCCACUGGAAUAGUCGUCGUCCCCGGUUCCGGCUUUGGUCAGGUGCCUGGUACAUGGCACUUCAGAUGUACAAUACUACCCCAAGAGGACAAGAUCCCGGCUGUCGUCUCUCGCCUGACCGACUUCCAUAAAGCCUUCAUGAAUGAAUAUCGUGACUGAAGCUCUUGGGACUCCUGUGUAUCAAGGUGCAGCCAAUUCCCCUUACUUCUUG
rnacentral:misc_RNA from 1 species